GACGAACGCUGGCGGCGUGCCUAAUACAUGCAAGUCGAACGCAUUUUCUUUCACCGUAGCUUGCUACACCGAAAGAAAAUGAGUGGCGAACGGGUGAGUAACACGUGGGUAACCUGCCCAUCAGCGGGGGAUAACACUUGGAAACAGGUGCUAAUACCGCAUAAUUCCAUUUACCGCAUGGUAGAUGGGUGAAAGGCGCUUUUGCGUCACUGAUGGAUGGACCCGCGGUGCAUUAGCUAGUUGGUGGGGUAACGGCCUACCAAGGCUGCGAUGCAUAGCCGACCUGAGAGGGUGAUCGGCCACACUGGGACUGAGACACGGCCCAGACUCCUACGGGAGGCAGCAGUAGGGAAUCUUCGGCAAUGGACGCAAGUCUGACCGAGCAACGCCGCGUGAGUGAAGAAGGUUUUCGGAUCGUAAAACUCUGUUGUUAGAGAAGAACAAGGAUGAGAGUGGAAAGUUCAUCCCUUGACGGUAUCUAAACAGAAAGCCACGGCUAACUACGUG
rnacentral:rRNA from 1 species